UACGAGGGGAGCUAGCGUUGUUCGGAAUUACUGGGCGUAAAGGGCGUGUAGGCGGUACCAUAAGUCAGAUGUGAAAGCCCUAGGCUUAACCUAGGAGGUGCAUUUGAUACUGUGGAACUAGAGAUCGAGAGAGGAAAGUGGAAUUACGAGUGUAGAGGUGAAAUUCGUAGAUAUUCGUAAGAACACCAGUGGCGAAGGCGACUUUCUGGCUCGAUACUGACGCUAAAGCGCGAAAGCGUGGGGAGCAAACAGG
rnacentral:rRNA from 1 species